rnacentral:lncRNA from 1 species
CUUUGGAGGGACAGCUUGUCUCCACAAACUGGUGUUGCAGGGUGUGAAGAUCUGCCCCCCAACCCGGGCUUGGGGCAACCCCUAAGUUCAAACCAGGCUCAGAGCUCUUGUAGCACCGGUCACAUGAGACAGCCAGGAAAGGGGGUACUGCAAGCAAACAUUUGGAACCAUCCUUCUGCUACACUUGGAUAACCUUUAUUAAGAAGGGAUGAGGUCUUCUCCUCAGCUGCAUUGUCUUCUGGGCCUAUAUACUCUAGCCCCUCUCCAAGGCCACCUGCAAAUAAGGCUACAAUAAACAACAAAGAGGUGGAAGAGAACAGUUGGAUACUCAGGUUAUGUAAAAAUAGCACAAUUUCAAAACUGAGGAAACCAGUCAAACAGAGAAGAUGGUGGCCAGCUUUUCACCGGGAGAUGAGCUCCUUCCUGGAGGGGCACAGGGGGACAAGGC